UUUUUGUGUAAAGUUCCAAGAAAGGUAAAAAUUAAAAUCAAUUCAAAAUUUUCAACCAAAAUUUCAAGUUCCUUGUUCAAAUUUUCCAGAUUUCUUCAUCAAAGCCAUUGUUAUCAAGGAUUCAAGCAGAUUUUCGAGCUAGGUUCAUUAUUAAAGCAGAUUUCGUGGUGGAAAGAUUAGGUAGAUUAUGAAAAGUCAUUGAUUAUCAAGGAUUCAAGAAGAUUUUUGAGCUAGAUUCAUUAUUAAAGCAGAUUUCGUGGUGACAAGGUUAGUUCAAAUUUCGGUUUCGAUUUUUAUAGCGAUUUUUGUUAAAAUUCUGAUUUUGUAUAUCAAGACUUUAUGUAUCGCAAUCUCAACAAGAGAAUGAGUUCUUUAAUGUAGUAUUCAUAGAUAAUGUUCCUCAACAGUCGCAUGGGUCUCUGUAAGUUUGUGUUUCUUUUGAUUUUACUAUCAUCAAAUUAUCAAUAUUAUAUUGUGUACUAACUUUUAAUUACUUAUAUUAUACGGAUUAUGGUAUUUAUAUGCUAGCUUUUGCCGAAUACCUAUCAUAUGGCCAAGGUAUUCCAGCGAAUAUUUUGGAUGCAUCGAGUUUACGCUCAAGAUAUGCUACACUUCUUUGGAAUUAUGGCCAACAAAAGAAUGAUGUCGGAGCAAUAAGUGACAAUGAAGCACCUCUACGAUAUAGCAGAUUCAAUGUAGCAAUGGAGGAGAUUGAUACAAUUCAAAUAGAUUAGUUGUUGUCCAUUUUUUGAUGUGUAAUUGGACAUUAGUUUUUGUAUUCUAUGAAACGAUUUUAAAGGGUUCCAGUUCUUUUGUGUUUAUUAAUGUAUAAAAUCUUGAAGUUAUGGUUUCAAAGGUUUUGGGUUAA